rnacentral:rRNA from 1 species
CUGCAAGGAUCCCCUAGUAACUGCGAGUGAAGCGGGAACAGCUCAAAUUUCGAAUCUGGCGGUCCUCGGCCGUCCGAGUUGUAAUCUAGAGAAGCGUCUUCCGCGCUGGACCCGUGUACAAGUCUCCUGGAAGGGAGCAUCGUAGAGGGUGACAAUCCCGUCUCUGACACGGACUUACCAGGGCUUACGCGAUGCGCUCUCGACGAGUCGAGUUGUUUGGGAAUGCAGCUCAAAUCGGGUGGUAAACUCCAUCUAAAGCUAAAUACUGGCGAGAGACCGAUAGCGAACAAGUACCGUGAGGGAAAGAUGAAAAGGACUUUGGAAAGAGAGUUAAACAGUACGUGAAAUUGCUGGAAGGGAAACGCUCCAAGUCAGUCGCGUCGGCCGGGGAUCAACCCUGCGCGAGAUGAUCGUGCACGGGCGUACUUCCUGGUCGAUGGGUCAGCAUCGAUUUCGGCCGUCAGACAAGGCCGCGGAGGAACGUGGCACUCCUCGGAGUGUGUUAUAGCCUCCCGUGCGAACGUGAUGGCUGGGAUCGAGGAACCCUCGGG